GAUGAAGAACGUAGCGAAAUGCGAUACGUAAUGUGAAUUGCAGAAUUCAGUGAAUCAUCGAAUCUUUGAACGCAUAUUGCGCUCUCUGGUAUUCCGGAGAGCAUGCUUGUUUGAGUAUCAGUAAACACCUCAACUCCCUUUUCUUUUUUGAAAUUGGAGCUGGACUUGAGUGAUCCCAACGCUUUCUUCCAAGAAUGUGGCGGGUUGCUUGAAAUGCAGGUGCAGCUGAACUUUUCUCUGAGCUAUAAGCAUAUCUAUUUAGUCUGCCUAAAAAACAGAUUAUUACCUUUGCUGCAGCUAACAUAAAGGAGACUAGUUCUUGUGCUGACUGAUGCAGGAUUCACAGAGACAGCUUCGGCUGACUUUGUAAACUCGAUCUCAAAUCAAGUAAGACUACCCGCUGAACUUAAGCAUAUCAAUAAGCGGAGGA
rnacentral:misc_RNA from 1 species